rnacentral:rRNA from 1 species
UUAAUCCUACGGGGGGCAGCAGUGGGGAAUAUUGCACAAUGGGGGGAACCCUGAUGCAGCAAUGCCGCGUGAAGGAUGAAGGUUUUCGGAUUGUAAACUUCUUUUGUACGGGACGAAGAAAGUGACGGUACCGUAAGAAUAAGCCACGGCUAACUACGUGCCAGCAGCCGCGGUAAUACGUAGGGGGCAAGCGUUAUCCGGAUUUACUGGGUGUAAAGGGAGCGUAGACGGUGCGCCAAGUCUGGAGUGAAAUGCCGCAGCUUAACUGCGGAACUGCUUUGGAAACUGGCGAACUAGAGUGCGGG